rnacentral:rRNA from 1 species
UACGUAGGGGGCGAGCGUUGUCCGGAUUUAUUGGGCGUAAAGAGCUCGUAGGCGGUUCGAUAAGUCGGACGUGAAAUCUCCACGCUCAACGUGGAGGGGCCGUUCGAUACUGUCGUGACUCGAGUCCGGUAGGGGAGUGUGGAAUUCCCGGUGUAGCGGUGAAAUGCGCAGAUAUCAGGAGGAACACCGGUGGCGAAGGCGGCGACCUGGGUAGAUACUGACGCUGAGGCGCGAAAGCGUGGGGAGCAAACAGG